CCUACGGGUGGCUGCAGUGGGGAAUAUUGGACAAUGGGGGCAACCCUGAUCCAGCCAUGCCGCGUGUGUGAAGAAGGCCCUCGGGUUGUAAAGCACUUUCAGUGAGGAAGAACGCCUGGUGGUUAAUACCCAUCAGGAAAGACAUCACUCACAGAAGAAGCACCGGCUAACUCCGUGCCAGCAGCCGCGGUAAUACGGAGGGUGCGAGCGUUAAUCGGAAUUACUGGGCGUAAAGCGCGCGUAGGUGGCUUGAUAAGCCGGUUGUGAAGGCCCCGGGCUCAACCUGGGAACGGCAUCCGGAACUGUCAAGCUAGAGUGCAGGAGAGGAAGGUAGAAUUCCCGGUGUAGCGGUGAAAUGCGUAGAGAUCGGGAGGAAUACCAGUGGCGAAGGCGGCCUUCUGGACUGACACUGACACUAAGGUGCGAAAGCGUGGGUAGCAAACAGGAUUAGAUACCCGGGUAGUC
rnacentral:rRNA from 1 species